rnacentral:rRNA from 1 species
CCUACAUGAAGUCGGAAUCGCUAGUAAUCGCGGAUCAGCAUGCCGCGGUGAAUACGUUCCCGGGCCUUGUACACACCGCCCGUCACACCACGGGAGUUUGCAACACCCGAAGUCGGUGAGGUAACCGUAAGGAGCCAGCCGCCGAAGGUGGGGUAGAUAACUGGGGUGAAGUCGUAACAAGGUAUCCGUACCGGAAGGUGCGGAUGGAUCACCUCCUUUCUAUGGAGA